GUUCUUCCUUCAGCAGAACAUAUACUAAAAUUGAAACAACAGAGAAAACUAGUGUGGCUCCUAAGUGAGGAUGACAUGCAAAUUUAUGGUGUUCCUUAUUUUAUU
ensembl:snRNA U6 U6 spliceosomal RNA